UGGGGAAUAUUGCACAAUGGGCGCAAGCCUGAUGCAGCCAUGCCGCGUGUGUGAAGAAGGCCUUCGGGUUGUAAAGCACUUUCAGCGAGGAGGAAGGGUAGUGUGUUAAUAGCACAUUGCAUUGACGUUACUCGCAGAAGAAGCACCGGCUAACUCCGUGCCAGCAGCCGCGGUAAUACGGAGGGUGCAAGCGUUAAUCGGAAUUACUGGGCGUAAAGCGCACGCAGGCGGUUUGUUAAGUCAGAUGUGAAAUCCCCGCGCUUAACGUGGGAACUGCAUUUGAAACUGGC
rnacentral:rRNA from 1 species